UGGGAGUCUCAUUGCCUUGGGGACAAGUACCGAACUUUCAGUAACACCUCCACCCCUGCAUACAGUUUGAGUAAUCAGCAGAAUAUGAUAGCUGUUAGCUCAUUCCCUGACACAUAGU